UGGCUUUGUGGGCAUACUUCCAACAAUCUCCCACUUGCACUCAAAGCCAUCUUCCCAUGUAUCUAAUACCCAUUUUAUCCAUAUGACGAUCAAGCUGAAUUUGAGACAUUGGCUUUGUCAGUGGAUCUGCUACGUUAUCGGCUGAGGCAUCAAGGUGCUCUUUCGCCACUCGUUUGGCAUCUUCUUCAUUUUCAAAAUCCUAUUGAAAAGGUCAGUGAGCCAUGCUAUACCUGUCUCUCCCAAGGCUUUCCACACUUCAAUCGGUAUAUCGUCUGGGCCCACUGUUUUUCUAUGCUUCAUCUUCUUCAAAGCUACAACCACUUCUUCCUUCCUGAUUCGACGAUAAAAAGAGUAGUUUCUACACUCUUCUGAGUUACUCAACUCCCCUAAAGGAGUACUCCUUUCAUGUCCUUCAUUG
rnacentral:lncRNA from 1 species